ensembl:lincRNA
CUGAAGGUGAGGAGUUGGGCGCCAACCAGAAUAACCAGGCACAGAAGUCUUCUUUGAAAAACUUUGUAUAUUAUUGAAGGAUGGCAGAAGCAGUUUUGAUUGAUCUUUUGUUUUGAAAUUGACCUGUCAGGAAAACUGCCAUGAGACAUUGAAGACAUUGAAUGCCAUCCAAUACCACCUUGCUGCCAAGGCCAAGUUCCUUUGCAUAAUGGGUUGCAAGUAACAUGAGGUAUGAAAGGGUUGGUAAACAAGAUAAUUGUGAACUGGAAACAAGCAAUGGAUUAUUAGCUCUCUUGAGAGAACUUGAGACUGUUAGUAAUCCCAGCAUGGCUGCUUCUUUGUAUACCAUUAAACAAAAAAUAGAUGAAAAAAAUCUAAGCGGCAUUAAGGUAAUUGUACCUGCACACAGGAAAACCUUAAUGAAGGCUUUUAUUGAUCGUCUCUUCACUGAGGUUUACAAUUUUGAGUUUGAAGAUUUACAGGUGACUUUGAGGGAUGGCCUUUUGAAACAGUCCACUGAGAUAAACACAAUCACAGCUCAUAAACUAGAAGAAAUCCAGAGUGAAAUAGAAACAUAUUUGAGAAGUCUGCCAGCCAGCACUGAAAGGAGAAUUAACUAUUAUCACAUCUCCUUUGAUCCCAGGCCUGAGAGGUACUAUAUUAGGUUUGCAAUGGCUACAGUGAAUGCUAUGAUAGCAGAAUAUGGCUGUAGAUUAGAAGACAUUAUUGCUGUAUGUCCCUUCAGUAGGACCUUGCUGUUUUACUCUUCCCAGGGAAUCAGCAAACACAUUUCAUAAUCUUCAUCCUGAUUGCCUAUGACUUUUUAACUCACCCAGUCCUCAUAUUGAUAUCCGAUCUAAAGCCACCAGGUAUGUUUGAUUUUCACUGUGGAACUGCAAGUUUGAUUAUUGUUUAUUGCUUCUGAAAUGAAAAUUAUUAUAGAGACCAGUUGCUAACUCCAAGAAGACAGGUGGCAGAUAUGCACUGCAAUAUACACUACACAAAAACUCAUUUUAAAUAUAAAAUCUAUUCUCAACAUGUGCAAAUGACAUAAAAUUUCUUGUCUGGUAUCUCUCAUUAAUUUGAAAGUGAAGGAAGAAACAGUUGGCCUUGAAAAGUUUCAAUUUCUACUUAAACUUAACUAGCAUUUACUUGACAUUACAGUCAUUGCUUGGGUAAACUCUCUAGAAUAUAAAAACAUUUAGAAAGCUAAUAUUUUAAAAUUGUUCAUAUUUUCUAAUUAAUUGGAAGGAUAUAUGUCUUCAAAAAAAUAUUAGGUAACAUAAAUACACAGCCACUUUUCUUUUUUUGUGGUCUCAUGCAUCUUGAAUUUAAAAAAUUUUGCUUUUAAUAUCUAUUGGAAAAAUAUUUGUUAUUUCUACAAAGGAAAAUUGAUAGCUGAUUUGAAUUGUGUUCCUAUUCCAAUCAGUAAAAGCUUACUCAUUUAAUACCUAAGUAUAAAGAAUUGGAAUUGAUUCUUGAUUUGACUUGUCAAAUAAUAUCACUAAUUUUCAUUCAUAUUUCAAGAUUUAGAGGGAAGCAAGUUUUCAAUGAAAAUAUGGCUAAUUAAGAGGAAAGAAGACCAGACGGUUAGAUGACUAAAAAGCACACUCUGUCUAAACCAAAUGAAUCUUAGUUAAAAAUACUCUUGUAUUUGAAAAAUUUCUUCUUAAGUAAGCCCUUGAUUUUGAUUAUAAAAUUCUGUAACUAGAUUAUGUCUACAGGACAGUAUGGAAGUUCAUACAGUUCAUUUAUAAACUUAGGUGAUAAAAAUCUAUCAUUUCUUUUUUUUUUUUACUUUAUUGUUGGUCGUUCAAAACAUUACACAAUUCUUAAUACAUCAUCUUGGAAGGGUAACUGAUGUGAUACAGCAAUUUGUAUACGGGGUAAAGUUGGGAGUUCAUAACCCACUUGAAUCAAACUGUGAAAGAUGAUGUAUCAUUUCUUAAUUAUUCCUUGUUGUGUUCAUAAGUAACAAUUUGCAUUAUUCCUACCAGAUUUUUUAUAGAACUCUUUUACAUCGUUGUACAUACUGUUUUCAUAUUUCUUUGGCAUUUGGUAAAAUAAAUGCUUGCUCUCUUUCGAAAAAUCUUUAUCCUAAGGAUUCUUCUAGAACAAGAAGGAAUUCUUCCAUAGAAUAUUCACGACCUGAACCAGAAUCUCAACCUUUGUACAUCUUGCCAUCCUGACAAAUUUUUCUCCCAUGUCCAAGAUGGUCUUAAUUUUGACACAUAGAUUGGCUUCAUAUGGAUUAGAGAAUGAGAUACUGGGUUCUCCCUUUUCUCUCCAGUCUCUCUUGCCUCUUUAUCUGACUCCCUCUCUUUCUCCUUCUUUUUUUUCCUCUCUUCUUCUUCCUCUUCCAGCCUUUUUCUUUCCUCAUUUAAAAAAAUAAUUAAGUAUAC